ACAUGUGUAUCCUCAUUCUCUUAGGGAUUUGACUUUAACGAAUUCAAGAUGAGUCCUGAGAUGAAAAAAAGAGUAUCCACAGUUAUAGCUUGUGCAAGAGCGACAUUUCAAUAUGGCUUCAUUCCAGCUGUGAUUUAUCUAGGCUUUAAAAGGGGUGCUGAUGAGGGAAUGCCGGAACUGACAUGGCAGAGUCUGUUGUGGCAGUGAGUUGGACCAGAAUGCUUAAACACCAGCAUCACCAUCAAUAGCAUGCAUCAUUCAGGAUUCUCAUGAACUAUUAAGUCAACAGAGUGAUAUUGUGACAGUUGAAAUAGUAGCAUGAAAUAGCCCAAACUCAUAAGUUGAUAUCAUCCAUGAUUACACUAUAGAUACCAGGACAUGGUGAGAAAACAACGUGAUGGACAGAACUGUAAAACAGAUAAUUAUACAGAUGUAUUGUUCAGUGUGAUAUUAAAAUUUUAUUGAUUUCUGAA